rnacentral:snRNA from 2 species
AUCGCUUCUCAGCCUUCUGGCUAAGAUCAAGUGAAACUGAUACUUUUUUUUUUUUUUUUUUUUUUUUGAGACGGAGUCUUGCUCUGUUUCCCAGGCUGGAGUGCAGUGGCGUGGUCUCGGCUCACUUCAACCUCCGCCUC